rnacentral:rRNA from 1 species
UACGUAGGUGGCAAGCGUUGUCCGGAUUUAUUGGGUUUAAAGGGUGCGUAGGCGGCCUAUUAAGUCAGUGGUGAAAUAUCUCAGCUCAACUGAGAGUGUGCCAAUGAUACUGAUGGGCUUGAGUACAGAUGAGGUAGGCGGAAUUGACGGUGUAGCGGUGAAAUGCUUAGAUAUCGUCAAGAACACCUAUAGCGAAGGCAGCUUACUAGGCUGUAACUGACGCUGAGGCACGAAAGUGUGGGGAUCAAAACAGG